rnacentral:rRNA from 1 species
GACGAACGCUGGCGGCGUGCUUAACACAUGCAAGUCGAACGAUGACGACCGAGCUUGCUCGGUCUGAUUAGUGGCGAACGGGUGAGUAACACGUGAGCAACCUGCCCUUCACUCUGGGAUAACCUCGGGAAAUCGGGGCUAAUACCGGAUAUGAGCUCCUGUCGCAUGGCGGGUGUUGGAAAGUUUGUCGGUGAAGGAUGGGCUCGCGGCCUAUCAGUUUGUUGGUGAGGUAGUGGCUCACCAAGGCGAAGACGGGUAGCCGGCCUGAGAGGGCGACCGGCCACACUGGGACUGAGACACGGCCCAGACUCCUACGGGAGGCAGCAGUGGGGAAUAUUGCACAAUGGGCGAAAGCCUGAUGCAGCGACGCCGUGUGAGGGAUGACGGCCUUCGGGUUGUAAACCUCUUUCAGCAGGGAAGAAGCGAAAGUGACGGUACCUGCAGAAGAAGCGCCGGCUAACUACGUG